rnacentral:rRNA from 1 species
UACGUAGGGUGCGAGCGUUGUCCGGAAUUAUUGGGCGUAAAGGGCUCGUAGGCGGUUUGUCGCGUCGGGAGUGAAAACCUCGGGCUUAACUCGGGGCUUGCUUUCGAUACGGGCAGACUGGAGGUAUGCAGGGGAGAACGGAAUUCCUGGUGUAGCGGUGAAAUGCGUAGAUAUCAAGAGGAACACCUGAGGUGAAGACGGGUUGCUGGGCUGACACUGACGCUGAGGCGCGAAAGCCAGGGGAGCAAACGGG